rnacentral:misc_RNA from 1 species
AUUUAAUUGAAUUUCAUUGAUAAAAGUAUCCAAAAACAUAAUCAGGUAAAUAUAAAAGAUUUGGGAUUCGUACAUGGCCCAAAUUAAUCACAUUUCCAACAAUACAAAAUGAUUUCAGAAGAAUACAUCAAGCAUCUAUUAAAUAUGCCUAUACUCAUGUGCAUGAUCCAAGUCCAUAACAAAAUGUCUAUCCUAAGAGUAUGGUUCUUCUUUUUACUAAGUUCCCAAAAUAAAAUGAGAUGAUAACCUGCCAUUCUCCUCGGUCUCUUGCUUCUGGUGCUAUAUGCUGAGCAACUAUAUAAGAUCAUGGAAAUGGCGUCUAAUCUAUUUCUCCUAGUAUUCUAUUAAUCCAAUUGAAGGAUAAAGAGACAAAACAAUAAUUAAUACUAAUGUGCAAGUAAAAUAAACUAUAAGAUUUAUACAUUCACAAUUAUUGUCCAAUCAUAGCAUUAAAGUCAAUAUAAUUGGAAUACACAUAUUGUCCAAGAUUAUGCAAAUGAUUAAGAGUAAACACUUUUAGACCCUCAACUUUCGACAUCACUUUAAAUUCACACUAUUGCCCGCUUAAGCAAUUAAUUGUUUCACUUUAGGAUUUCACUAAUUUGGGAACCUUAAUUAUGCACAAAUAUAGAGUUGAGAGGGACUACACUUAGGGGUGAACCUUUGUCCUUUCUACUUCAAAAGAAGAAUUCUGUAAAUAAUCACUUAGAAAGCAAAGCUUCUAUAAUAUUCACUUAGCAAAGCUACUUUAGUAAUCACUAGUAGACAGGCUACUUUAAUAAUCACUUUCAUCAAUUUAUAGGAUCACUCCCCUCUAUAUCAUGCAUAAUGGGCAUCUUUGGCUCCGUAGAAUUUCACUUCAGUUGACACUUCCAAUUUGGUUUCCAUUACCAUGUAUAUUUCAUAUUUUCAUGUAACACUUAAAAUAAUUUUUGCUCACUAUUUUAAGUUGUUAUCACUCACAAAUUCAUGUUUAUAGAAAUAUAAUUUCCGCUUCAACUUAAGGUACCAUAGCCUCAAUAUUAUUACACUUAUUACCUCAAUUAAUUCACUUAAAUCAGCAUCACUUUUCAUUUCAUUUGCAGUUCUCUUUAGCAUGGUUUUAGUAUGAUUUUUACAGAAAUGAUGAAAAAUUGAUAGCUCUUAACCUAAAGUGGAAAUAGUUAAUAAAUUCCACUCUAUCACUUCGUAGUUUACACAGCAAUUAAGCACACUAUUUCAAAUCAAUAUAUGCAUCAUUUCAAGGGAAGUUCAUUCACUAUUUCACAUCACAUUAUAUCACAAUAGUUCAACUACUCAUGGUAACCAUACCAGACUUAGUUAGGGCACAAAAUAAAAGUAAUAAUGCUCAUAAAAGCAUAUUAGGGGCAGCCUAUAAAAUCCACUUAAUGAGGCAUAAUAAUUUAAGUUUAAGAAAUGAUAUACUCACCUACAAGUCCAAUCUCACGCUAGAAUCAUUUGGCAACCAAACCAUUCUAUUUUUCCCUCCUAGGCCAAAACAUUGACAAGCUAAAAUUUGAUUUCACUUCACUUUUUUUCCAACCAAUUCCUCCUAAUUUCGAUCACAAUCUAGGAGAGAAAUUACGGUUUUUACUUUCAAAAAACAAGGUUCCAUCUCUUGAAAAUGUCCCUUGGCCGAAGCCCUAGAUGAGUACUUCUAUCUUUUUGAACCUUUUUGUGACAAUUAACGAUAGAAAAUAUCAAUUGGCAUAAUGAGGAAGGGAUGGAAGCAAGGAAUUGGAAAAACAUUGGGGAGUUCUACUUACCCUAAGAUUGGCCAAAGCUAGUCCACUUUUCUCCCUGUUUUGUCUUGCUUCAACAUGUCUCCAAUCAAGCCAACCCUAAAGCAUUCUUUAUUGGCCAAAGCUUGGCCUUCUUUGCUCUGAUUUCUUCGUCAUUUAAACUCGCUUCCCUCCUUGUUUAUGAUGUUGAUGAUUUUGAUGAUGUAGAUUUGAAGUUAAAAGGGAUGGGAUAUAAGGUUAGGGUUGUAAAAGAGGUGAUGACAGAGUUGAGAGGAAAUAAGAUGGAGUUUAAACGAAAGAAAAAUGAAAAAGAGGGAGAAUGAGAGUGUGGUUGACUACCCGUCUCUUACUCUUCAAUUUUUGAGUUGUG